rnacentral:rRNA from 1 species
UACGUAGGGUGCGAGCGUUAAUCGGAAUUACUGGGCGUAAAGCGUGCGCAGGCGGUUUUGUAAGCCAGAUGUGAAAUCCCCGGGCUCAACCUGGGAAUGGCAUUUGGGGCUGCAAGGCUGGAGUUUGGCAGAGGAGACUGGAAUUCCUGGUGUAGCAGUGAAAUGCGUAGAUAUCAGGAGGAAUACCGAUGGCGAAGGCAGGUCUCUGGGCUAUAACUGACGCUCAUGCACGAAAGCGUGGGGAGCAAACAGG